rnacentral:rRNA from 1 species
AUUGAACGCUGGCGGCAGGCCUAACACAUGCAAGUCGAACGAGUGGCGGACGGGUGAGUAAUGUCUGGGAAACUGCCCGAUGGCGGGGGAUAACUACUGGAAACGGUAGCUAAUACCGCAUACCAUCGGAUGUGCCCAGAUGGGAGUAGCUAGUAGGUGGUGUAACGGCUCACCUAGGCGACGCUCCCUAGCGGGCCUGAGAGGAUGACCGGCCACACGGGAACUGGGACACGGUCCAGACUCCAACGGGAGGCGGCAGUGGGGAAUAUUGCACAAUGGGGGCAAGCCUGAUGCGGCCAUGCCGCGUGUAUGAAGAAGGCCUUCGGGUUGUAAAGUACUUUCAGCGGGGAGGCGUUACCCGCAGAAGAAGCACCGGCUAACUCCGUGCCAGCAGCCGCGGUAAUUC